rnacentral:rRNA from 1 species
GCCCUUUUCCGGUUGAUCCUGCCGGAAGCCAUUGCUAUCGGGGUCCGAUUAAGCCAUGCUAGUCGCACGGGUUUAGACCCGUGGCGGAAAGCUCAGUAACACGUGGCCAAACUGCCCUGUGGAUCAGGAUAACCUCGGGAAACUGAGGCUAAUCCUGAAUAAGGCUCACAUCUUGGAGUAGAGUGAGUCUGAAAUGCUACGGCGCCACAGGAUGUGGCUGCGGCCGAUUAGGUAGACGGUGGGGUAACGGCCCACCGUGCCCAUAAUCGGUACGGGUUGUGAGAGCAAGAGCCCGGAGACGGUAUCUGAGACAAGAUACCGGGCCCUACGGGGCGCAGCAGGCGCGAAACCUUUACACUGUGCGAGAGCGCGAUAAGGGGACCCCGAGUGCGAGGGCAUAUAGUCCUCGCUUUUCUGGACUGUAGGGAGGUCCAGGAAUAAGAGCUGGGCAAGACCGGUGCCAGCCGCCGCGGUAAUACCGGCAGCUCAAGUGAUGGCCGAUUUUAUUGGGCCUAAAGCGUCCGUAGCCGGCCAGACAGGUCCGUCGGGAAAUCUGCACGCCCAACGUGCAGACGUCCGGCGGAAACCAGCUGGCUUGGGGCCGGAAGACCCAGGGGGUACGUCCGGGGUAGGAGUGAAAUCCUGUAAUCCCGGACGGACCGCCGGUGGCGAAAGCGCCCUGGGAGGACGGACCCGACGGUGAGGGACGAAAGCUAGGGUCACGAACCGGAUUAGAUACCCGGGUAGUCCUAGCCGUAAACGAUGCCCGCUAGGUUUGGCGCAGGCUACGAGCCUGCGCUGUGCCACAGCGAAGCGCUAAGCGGGCCGCCUGGGAAGUACGUCUGCAAGGAUGAAACUUAAAGGAAUUGGCGGGGGAGCACUACAACCGGAGGA